AGUGAACGCUGGCGGUAGGCCUAACACAUGCAAGUCGAACGGCAGCACAGUAAGAGCUUGCUCUUACGGGUGGCGAGUGGCGGACGGGUGAGGAAUACAUCGGAAUCUACUUUUUCGUGGGGGAUAACGUAGGGAAACUUACGCUAAUACCGCAUACGACCUACGGGUGAAAGCAGGGGAUCUUCGGACCUUGCGCGAUUGAAUGAGCCGAUGUCGGAUUAGCUAGUUGGCGGGGUAAAGGCCCACCAAGGCGACGAUCCGGAGCUGGUCUGAGAAGAUGAUCAGCCACACUUGGACUGAGACACGGUCCAGACUCCGACGGGGGGCAGCAGUGGGGAAUAUUGGACAAUGGGCGCAAGCCUGAUCCAGCCAUACCGCGUGGGUGAAGAAGGCCUUCGGGUUGUAAAGCCCUUUUGUUGGGAAAGAAAAGCAGCAGGUUAAUACCCCGCUGUUCUGACGGUACCCAAAGAAUAAGCACCGGCUAACUUCGUG
rnacentral:rRNA from 1 species